rnacentral:lncRNA from 1 species
CUUGUUGCUGAGCUAACAUCUGUGGCAAUCUUCCUCUGUUUUGUAUGUGGGUCACCCCCACAGCAUGGCUUGAUGAGCAGUGCGUAGGUCCACAUCUGGGAUCUGAGCCUGUGAACCCCAGGUGGCCAAAGCGGAGUGCGCAAACUUAACCACUAUGCCACUGGGCUGGCCCCAAGAUGUGGGUUUUUUAAUCCUUUUCUGUUUGUCUCUUGUUUUAGAAGCAGAUCGUGAGACAAAGAUUCAAGUAAGAGUAGUUUAUUUGGCAGCUGAAGGAAACAUCCACUGGCGGUGGGGCUUGAGAGAAGGAAGUGAAGACAGCCAAGAGAGCGUGUGUUAUCAAGCCAGCUACCCCUGUGGGCAGCUGGUUUGGUCCACUGUGCUCUCUGCCAGGCAGCCUAGCAGACGCCCCGCAGUCACCAGCACCAACUCCCGGACAUCAGGGAGGUUGGAGGGGCAGAGUUCCCGCACUUCAGCCUCCUGCGUGGGAGGCACGGUGUGCUCAGGUGGCCAAAGAAGGCAAAGAAGGUAAAGAAGUGAGGUCCUGGUAAAGUGGAAGUCAGUCAUGUUAAAAGAAGAGAAGAUCACUCCUGGAUAGUUUUGUCUCCUGGCCACCAGGAGUUUGUGAAAGUUGGCAAAUUUUGACUGAGGACAGGAAUGGGGACUGAGAUGCUGCCUUUCUAGAAAGCUCCUGGUGAUGCUGAUGCUUCAUGGACCACUUUGAGGAUCUAAGCAUUAUUCACAAUAGCCAAGACAUGGAAGCAACCUAAGCACCCAUGGACUGCUGACUGUAUAAAGAGGAUAUGGUAUAUAUAGACAAUGGAAUACUACUCAGCCAUAAAAUGGAUAAAAUCGUCUCAUUCACAACAGCAUGGAUGGACCUUGAGGGUAUUAUGUUAAGCAAAAUAAGCCAGAUAGAGAAAGACAAUCUCUGUAUGACCCCACUUAUGUGUGGAAGAUAAACAAACACGUGGACAAAGAGAACAGAUUAG